CAUCAUAGCAACUGUCAUGCAAUAAUGGCUAGCUUUUCACUUGGAAGCCUAAAUCUGGAAGCUGCUGGAACCCAGUUCUUUCCACCAAGGAUCUUCCCUCUGAGCUGAGAGUCUACAGUCUUCUCAUUUUCCUGCUUUAGAAAGGCGAUGAUGGGACCAUGAGACAUCAGAGAAGCGGAACUGAGCAGUGUCGGGAUGAGAACAGUGUGGGUCUACAUGCCUGCCAUUCAGCCACACGUGACUGCGAGAGGAGCUGGGAAGCUUCCCUAACUGUGUCUGCAGGAAGAAAAGCUCAACAGAUUUUUGCCAAUCAGAAAAUGAGUUGAUCCUUUCCCACAUCUUGAUGUAAAUCAUCUCUAAGGAGCUUAAGACAAUCAAGGAGCAAAACAUCCACAAGAGGAGCAAAGUGUAAAGGAAGAUGCUUGCAAGAAGCACAGAAUAAAGGACUUUUGAGCAAUGGCAGGAGCAUU